rnacentral:rRNA from 1 species
GAGGGUGACCGGCCACACUGGGACUGAGACACGGCCCAGACUCCUACGGGAGGCAGCAGUGGGGAAUAUUGCACAAUGGGCGCAAGCCUGAUGCAGCGACGCCGCGUGAGGGAUGACGGCCUUCGGGUUGUAAACCUCUUUCAGUAGGGAAGAAGCGAAAGUGACGGUACCUGCAGAAGAAGCGCCGGCUAACUACGUGCCAGCAGCCGCGGUAAUACGUAGGGCGCAAGCGUUAUCCGGAAUUAUUGGGCGUAAAGAGCUCGUAGGCGGUUUGUCGCGUCUGCCGUGAAAGUCCGGGGCUCAACUCCGGAUCUGCGGUGGGUACGGGCAGACUAGAGUGAUGUAGGGGAGACUGGAAUUCCUGGUGUAGCGGUGAAAUGCGCAGAUAUCAGGAGGAACACCGAUGGCGAAGGCAGGUCUCUGGGCAUUAACUGACGCUGAGGAGCGAAAGCAUGGGGAGCGAACAGGAUUAGAUACCCUGGUAGUCCAUGCCGUAAACGUUGGGCACUAGGUGUGGGGGACAUUCCACGUUUUCCGCGCCGUAGCUAACGCAUUAAGUGCCCCGCCUGGGGAGUACGGCCGCAAGGCUAAAACUCAAAGGAAUUGACGGGGGCCCGCACAAGCGGCGGAGCAUGCGGAUUAAUUCGAUGCAACGCGAAGAACCUUACCAAGGCUUGACAUGGGCCGGAUCGCCGCAGAAAUGUGGUUUCCCCUUUGGGGCCGGUUCACAGGUGGUGCAUGGUUGUCGUCAGCUCGUGUCGUGAGAUGUUGGGUUAAGUCCCGCAACGAGCGCAACCCUCGUUCUAUGUUGCCAGCGCGUGAUGGCGGGGACUCAUAGGAGACUGCCGGGGUCAACUCGGAGGAAGGUGGGGACGACGUCAAAUCAUCAUGCCCCUUAUGUCUUGGGCUUCACGCAUGCUACAAUGGCCGGUACAAAGGGUUGCGAUACUGUGAGGUGGAGCUAAUCCCAAAAAGCCGGUCUCAGUUCGGAUUGGGGUCUGCAACUCGACCCCAUGAAGUCGGAGUCGCUAGUAAUCGCAGAUCAGCAACGCUGCGGUGAAUACGUUCCCGGGCCUUGUACACACCGCCCGUCAAGUCACGAAAGUUGGUAACACCCGAAGCCGGUGGCCUAACCCCUUGUGGGAGGGAGC